GACGAACGCUGGCGGCGUGCUUAACACAUGCAAGUCGAACGGAAAGUCCCUGCUUGCAGGGUGCUCGAGUGGCGAACGGGUGAGUAACACGUGUGUGAUCUGCCCCUUACUUUGGGAUAAGCCUGGGAAACUGGGUCUAAUACUGGAUAGGACCAUGCUGUAGGUGGUGUGGUGGAAAGAUUAGUUUCGGUAAGGGAUGGGCUCGCGGCCUAUCAGCUUGUUGGUGGGGUAAUGGCCUACCAAGGCGUCGACGGGUAGCCGGCCUGAGAGGGUGGACGGCUACAUAGGGACUGAGAUACGGACAAGACUCCUACGGGAGGCAGCAGUGGGGAAGAUUGCACAAUGGGAGCAAGCGUGAUGCAGCGACGCAGCGUGGGGGAUGACGGGCUUCGGGUUGUAAACUCGUUACGGCCAUGACGAAGCGCUUGUGGUGACGGUAGUGGUAGAAGAAGCACCGGCUAACUACGUG
rnacentral:rRNA from 1 species